AGUAAAGCAUCGGAACGUGCCCAAUCGUGGGGGAUAACGUAGCGAAAGUUACGCUAAUACCGCAUACGUCCUGAGGGAGAAAGCAGGGGACUCGCAAGAGCCUUGCGCGAAUGGAGCGGCCGAUGUCGGAUUAGCUUGUUGGCGGGGUAAAAGCCCACCAAGGCGACGAUCCGUAGCUGGUCUGAGAGGACGACCAGCCACACUGGGACUGAGACACGGCCCAG
rnacentral:rRNA from 1 species